rnacentral:rRNA from 1 species
GAUGAACGCUGGCGGCGUGCCUAAUACAUGCAAGUCGAGCGAACGGACGAGAAGCUUGCUUCUCUGAUGUUAGCGGCGGACGGGUGAGUAACACGUGGAUAACCUACCUAUAAGACUGGGAUAACUUCGGGAAACCGGAGCUAAUACCGGAUGAUAUUUUGAACCGCAUGGUUCAAAAGUGAAAGACGGUCUUGCUGUCACUUAUAGAUGGAUCCGCGCUGCAUUAGCUAGUUGGUAAGGUAACGGCUUACCAAGGCAACGAUGCAUAGCCGACCUGAGAGGGUGGUCGCCCACACUGGAACUGAGACACGGUCCAGACUCCUACGGGAGGCAGCAGUAGGGAAUCUUCCGCAAUGGUCGAAAGCCUGACGGAGCAACGCCGCGUGAGUGAUGAAGGUCUUCGGAUCGUAAAACUCUGUUAUUAGGGAAGAACAUAUGUGUAAGUAACUGUGCACAUCUUGACGGUACCUAAUCAGAAAGCCACGGCUAACUACGUG